AGAGGGUGCAAGCGUUAAUCGGAUUUACUGGGCGUAAAGCGUGCGUAGGUGGUCUUUUAAGUCGGAUGUGAAAUCCCUGAGCUUAACUUAGGAAUUGCAUUCGAUACUGGGAGACUAGAGUAUGGGAGAGGAUGGUAGAAUUCCAGGUGUAGCGGUGAAAUGCGUAGAGAUCUGGAGGAAUACCGAUGGCGAAGGCAGCCAUCUGGCCUAAUACUGACACUGAGGUACGAAAGCAUGGGGAGCAAACAGGAUUAGAUACCCUGGUAGUCCAUGCCGUAAACGAUGUCUACUAGCCGUUGGGGUCUUUGAGACUUUAGUGGCGCMKAACGCGAUAAGUAGACCGCCUGGGAGUAC
rnacentral:rRNA from 1 species